rnacentral:rRNA from 1 species
AGUAAUGCGUGACCAACCUGCCCCAUGCUCCAGAAUAGCUCUUGGAAACGGGUGGUAAUGCUGGAUGCUCCAACUUGACGCAUGUCUUGUUGGGAAAGUGUUUAGUGGCAUGGGAUGGGGUCGCGUCCUAUCAGCUUGUAGGCGGGGUAAUGGCCCACCUAGGCUUCGACGGGUAGCCGGCCUGAGAGGGCAGACGGCCACAUUGGGACUGAGAUACGGCCCAGACUCCUACGGGAGGCAGCAGCU